GCCCAUGCAUGUGUCAGUACAAACUAAAUGAGAGUGAAACCGCGAAUGGCUCAUUAAAUCAGCUAUGAUUCAUUGGAUCUGUACACCCAGUUUUCCUUGGAUAACUGUGGUAAUUCUAGAGCUAAUACAUGCACAUAUAGUCCCUGCCCUCCUCUCUUGUCUGACGAUGAGAGAGAGAGGGAAGGGCGCUUUUAUUAGUAUCAAAACCGGUCGGGCUUCGGUCUGUUAACCUAUUUGAUGACUCUGGAUAACUUUUAGCUGAGCGCACGGUCUUUUGCACCGGCGCCGCUUCUUUCAAGUGUCUGCCUUAUCAGCUUUCGAUUGUAUGUUAUGUGCCUACAAUGGCUAUAACGGGUAACGGGGAAUCAGGGUUCGAUUCCGGAGAGGGAGCCUGAGAAACGGCUACCACAUCUAAGGAAGGCAGCAGGCACGCAAAUUACCCACUCCCGGCACGGGGAGGUAGUGACGAAAAAUAACGAUGCGAGACUCAUCCGAGGCUUCGCAAUCGGAAUGAGUACACUUUAAAUCCUUUAACGAGGAUCAAUUGGAGGGCAAGUCUGGUGCCAGCAGCCGCGGUAAUUCCAGCUCCAAUGGCGUAUAUUAAAGUUGUUGCGGUUAAAAAGCUCGUAGUUGGAUUUCAGUAUUGGACUGAUGAGUUUUUUCACCUUCGGGUGAUUAAACGGAAUCAAGCUUCAAAACCUGCUACCACAAUAAUUACAUUGUGUGUUGCUCAACUAGCUCACACGGGGUGCUCUUAACCGAGUGUCCCGAGUGGCUGGUAUGUUUACUUUGAAAAAAUUAGAGUGCUCAGAGCAGGCUACAAAUGGCCUGAAUGUCUAUGCAUGGAAUAAUAUAAGAGGACCUCGGUUUUAUGUUUUACCGCGUUUCUUUUGGAAACCCGAGGUAAUGAUUAAUAGGACCAAGUGAGGGCAUUAGUACUGCGACGCUAGACUUCAUUAAUCAAGAACGAAAGUUAGAGGUUCGAAGGCGAUCAGAUACCGCCCUAGUUCUAACCAUAAACGAUGCUAACCAGCGAUCCGCCGUAGUUAUUCCCAUGACUCGGCGGGCAGCUUCCGGGAAACCAAAGUCUUUGAGUUCCGGGGGAAGUAUGGUUGCAAAUCUGAAACUUAAAGGAAUUGACGGAAGGGCACCACCAGGAGUGGAGCCUGCGGCUUAAUUUGACUCAACACGGGAAACCUCACCAGGCCCAGACACUGGAAGGAUUGACAGAUUGAGAGCUCUUUCUCGAUUCAGUGGGUGGUGGUGCAUGGCCGUUCUUAGUUGGUGGAGCGAUUUGUCUGGUUAAUUCCGAUAACGAACGAGACUCUGGCCUAUUAACUAGUCGACGGAUUUCCAAACCAUGCAAUUGGUGUCCAGUUCGCAAUAUUAUCUUCUUAGAGGGAUAAGCGGUAGUCCUAGCCGCACGAGAAUGAGCAAUAACAGGUCUGUGAUGCCCUUAGAUGUUCUGGGCCGCACGCGCGCUACACUGAAGGGAUCAGAAUGUUUUCCCCCUCCGAAAGGAGCGGGUAACCCGAUGAAACCCCUUCGUGAUAGGGAUUGGGGCUUGUAAUUAUUUCCCAUGAACGAGGAAUUCCCAGUAAGCGCAGAUCAAGAGUUUGCGUUGAUUACGUCCCUGCCCUUUGUACACACCGCCCGUCGCUACUACCGAUUGAAUGAUUUAGUGAGGCCUUCGGACUGUCGCUCUUGGAUAUCUUGGCUUAAUGCUAGUUCCUAGAGCUGACGGAAAGAUGUCCAAACUUGAUCAUUUAGAGGAAGUAAAAGUCGUAACAAGGUUUCC
rnacentral:rRNA from 1 species